AUUGAACGCUGGCGGCAUGCCUUACACAUGCAAGUCGAACGGUAACAGGUCUUCGGUUGCUGACGAGUGGCGAACGGGUGAGUAAUACAUCGGAACGUGCCCGAUCGUGGGGGGUAACGCAGCGCAAGCUGUGCUAAUACCGCAUACGAUCUACGGAUUAAAGCGGGGGAUCGCAAGACCUCGCGCGGACGGAGCGGCCGAUGGCAGAUUAGGUAGUUGGUGGGAUAAAAGCUUACCAAGCCGACGAUCUGUAGCUGGUCUGAGAGGACGACCAGCCACACUGGGACUGAGACACGGCCCAGACUCCUACGGGAGGCAGCAGUGGGGAAUUUUGGACAAUGGGCGCAAGCCUGAUCCAGCCAUGCCGCGUGCAGGAUGAAGGCCUUCGGGUUGUAAACUGCUUUUGUACGGAACGAAAAAGUUCUCUCUAAUACAGGGGGUGAAUGACGGUACCGUAAGAAUAAGCACCGGCUAACUACGUG
rnacentral:rRNA from 1 species